CGUCAGAGCCCGAGCGUCGUAAAAAGAGCCGCUUCCCAUGGAACCUGGAAGGGGCGGGGAAACUGGACGCCUGAGCAUGCGUAGUCCCUGCGUGUCCCAGCCACACACACCCCCAACCCCGUAAGGGGUUUGUGCACAGGAAGAUAGAGGAAGGCUUCGCAGACGCGAUGGCAUUGGAACCAACUGCCGAAAGAACAGUUUUCCAGGCUGUCAAUAGUGGGAUCGAUUCCUUCCUUUGCAGAGGAAAUGGAAUGUGCACAGGACAAUGUGCACAGGACGAGGCACAGAACAACACCUGCGAAGGAUCUCCCAAUAGUUUGAAGCGUCGCCAGUUUGGAAGGAAGGAUAUUAAGCAUUAAUACUUAAGGAUUUAAUUUGGAAGUCCAAUCUAGGGAAUGUUCUAGAGGCGGCGGUGAUCAAUCAGAAUGCCUGAAGGGCUCGCUAGUUUAAAAAAUGGUUGGGGUGGCCCACCUGGGUGGGCUCAGUGGGUUGAAGCCUCUGCCUUCGGCUCAGGUCAUGAUCCCAGGGUUUUGGGAUCGAGCCCCACAUUGGGCUCUCUGCUCAGGGGGAAGCCUGCUUCCUCCUCUCUCUCUGCCUGCCUCUCUGCCUACUUGUUAUCUCUGCCUGUCAAAUAAAUAAAUAAAUGAAUUUUUUAAAAAA